rnacentral:rRNA from 1 species
CCUACGGGUGGCAGCAGUGGGGAAUAUUGCACAAUGGGGGAAACCCUGAUGCAGCGACGCCGCGUGAGUGAAGAAGUUAUUCGUUAUGUAAAGCUCUAUCAGCAGGGAAGAAAAUGAUGGUACCUGAGUAAGAAGCACCGGCUAACUACGUGACAGAUGCCGCGGUACUACGCAGGGUGCAAGCGUUAUACGGAUUUACUGGGUGUAAAGGGCGAGUAGACGGCUGUGCAGGUCUGGUGGGAAAGGCGGGGGCUCAACCCCCGGACGGCUCUGGAAACUGUACGGCUGGAGUGCAGGAGAAGUAAGUGGAAUGCCCGGUGUAGCGGUGAAAUGCGUAGAUAUCAGGAAGAACUCCAGUGGCGAAGGCGGCUUACUGGACUCUAACUGACGCUGAGGCUCGAAAGCGUGGGGAUCAAACAGGAUUAGAUACCCCGGUAGUC